rfam:Ovis aries breed Texel chromosome 1, whole genome shotgun sequence.
UGGCUCAGAGGUUAAAGUGUCUGCCUCCAAUGCAGAAGACCCGGGUUCGAUCCCUGG